rnacentral:rRNA from 1 species
GACGAACGCUGGCGGCGUGCUUAACACAUGCAAGUCGAACGGAAAGGCCCUGCUUUUGUGGGGUGCUCGAGUGGCGAACGGGUGAGUAACACGUGAGUAACCUGCCCUUGACUUUGGGAUAACUUCAGGAAACUGGGGCUAAUACCGGAUAGGAGCUCCUGCUGCAUGGUGGGGGUUGGAAAGUUUCGGCGGUUGGGGAUGGACUCGCGGCUUAUCAGCUUGUUGGUGGGGUAGUGGCUUACCAAGGCUUUGACGGGUAGCCGGCCUGAGAGGGUGACCGGCCACAUUGGGACUGAGAUACGGCCCAGACUCCUACGGGAGGCAGCAGUGGGGAAUAGCACAAUGGGCGGAAGCCUGAUGCAGCAACGCCGCGUGCGGGAUGACGGCCUUCGGGUUGUAAACCGCUUUCGCCUGUGACGAAGCGUGAGUGACGGUAAUGGGUAAAGAAGCACCGGCUAACUACGUG